GAUCUGAUGAUUGUGUGUAUUUAAAAUCCUGUCAUCAGCACACUAGACCAGUCAUACCACUAUGCACUUGACAAUGAAAACAGAAUUGGUGAAGCAAUACUGUGGUAGUUCUACUUUCCUCCCACCAGUGAACCCUUUCAGAAUGGCUUGAGCUGGCAACAAAGCACGAAGCCAUGGCUCAGCAGUGCCACGCUGGGGGAAAGAGUCCCUUUACCACCUUGUUUUCUACAUAGAGGUAGUGUAACUGACUGUAUUUAAAAAAAAAGAUAAUCACAGAGAUACAGAGUAUGUCCAGAGGAAGGCAGUAUAGUGUUAUAGUUAAAAGUAUGCAUAGGCUUUAGAAUUAGACGUGCUUAGAUUUUUAUUUUUGGUUAAUCUUUGUAAGAACACCCAAAUGAGAAUAAUACCAGUAGUCUCUUCAUAGGGCUGCUGAAGCAUAAAGGAGAAAAGGCAUGUAAGAAAUCAAUAAUGUCAGCUAUUAUUAUUACCUUGACAUUCAUCUCUAAUUUCUAAAAUGUAACCUUCCUUUUAGAUGUGGUAUCUAUGUGCUCUUCAGUGACAUCAAAAUUCAUACUGAUAGGAUACCAGUUUUGAAGUAUCAUACAGCUUCUACUCCCAUCUCCACCCCUACUUCCCUGAUUUUGUAAAGUGAUUUGGUUUCGAUUAAAUAUUGUAAAGGAAAUAAUCAAGUACAAAUAAGAUGACUAUAGAUUCCAGUUUGCCCAGAACAGUCUUGGCUUAUGACUAUUAAACUGGCAUAAUUAAUAAUAGAGUCUCCUUUCCCUGUUACAGUGCUCUGGCUUGAAUGGGAAAUAAUUUGAUCAUCGUAUAUAUAACACGAUGUUGAAUGCUACCCUGGCAAACAGGUCAACUCAGUCAAACUGGUUUCUUCAUGUAGAUACUGCCUUACUAUGGAAAUGAAGGUGGAAACAUUCAUCUUUGUCAGAAAUUAUGUCAAAUUAUUCAAAUUUAUUGGUGAAUUACAACAAACAUCCCAGCUGAUGAACAUCUCAGUCAUAUGUUUUUUAGAGAACACUUAUGGUCCUGAAAAGAUAACAUUGCAAUGAGCUUUCCCAUUCUGAAGCAAAGAUGUUUGGAUAGAGAAUGGGGUCUGUUAUUCAAGAUAAUAAUUUAUUUCAAUCAUAAAAAUUACAAAGAUAUCCAGAACUGUAAGUAUCAAAAUAUAUCCCUUUAGAUAGUGUUGCUGUUGUUUUCUUUCCCCCUCUCCUUGUUAUGGUCCUCUUUCAAGACUCUUACGAAGCUGUCUCUAAGACCCUUUCUGUCAGUUUCCAUCUUUUCUAUAGACAUACUAUAGCCUUCACAUUAACACUGCUUCUCUGGCUUGAGGUAAUAAACGAUUAGCUACAGCACAGUGGUGUGAUGUUCAUGUUAUUCUUUGCUGUACUACACCUAGCCAAUGUUUCAAAAAUUAAUGCAAGUAUAUCAGGAUCUGAAAUUAACUUUUUAUAGCCAAAAGCAACAUCCUGCUAGGAGGAGAAAAACCUAUUAUAAAUGGGCUGGCAUCUGAUUGCUUGUACAUGGUUAGUACCAGGAAACUAACAUUUCAAAUUAUAAAGCGUUGAAUAUAACAAAAGCUGCCCCAUAUUGAUUAAUCACUGUUUUGUUUAUGAACUGAUAAGGUCUAACUAGGUAGUAUCUAUUAUUAGUAAGUCACAGAUCUAUUACUAAAGAUCUGAGAUGAACCUAAAUUGGCUAAUGUUUUUAUGAUGUUAUAUAGAAAUAAUUAGAAAAAAAUACCAGCAUGAAAAAUAACAGCAUUUCCCCCGAACUGUAUAUUAUCUUGGGAUAUAUUUUUUCCAGGUAAUUAUUUAAAACUAGUCACUAAAAAUAUAUUCAAAAGUAUAUGUUAUUCAAUAAGCACUAUCAAAAAAUCACUUUGAAAAAUGCGAACAGAAAAAAUCAACCUAGGAUAAUGCACAUAUCUAUUUCUCUUUGAAAAAUUUUAAAUAAUUUCUAAUUGAAGUACCUAUAUAGGAGAAAUCAAUUUAAUGUGCUACAAAGCAAAGGUAUUUAAAAAUUUUAUUUAAAACUGCCCAUGUGUUUAUAUUCAGUUAUUUUACUGGUGUUUAGACCAAGCUUGACUAUAGUGGUAAUCUUUUUUGUUUCUUUUCAUUCAGGAUGUAAAACAUAUGCUAUGAAAACUUUAAAAUCUGCAAGAAUACUUUAUUUAAAUUACUCAUGUUAAAAAUCAAUACCUUUAGCUAAUAAAAAUAGGGCAUGAUUUAACUGCAUAUUUUCACACACACACACACACACACACACACACACACACACACACACGCACACAAAGAUACAGCUAUAACUCUAGAGGAGAAGGAUAUAAAAUUUUACCAGUUCUGGCAUGUUUAAUUAAUUAGGAGAACAGUGUAAAAUAGUUGUCUAUAUUCCUUAGGCUACUGAUUGCUUUCUACAUUUGGAAGAUGGGGGACAAGACGGGAGAGGAGGGAGUUUUAUUUUAAAAGUGCGUAUUAAAACAAAAAUGUUAUUAAUGUCCUUAGAGAUUACAGGUGGUGCUAUAGAUUGAAACAUGAAUAUUUAGGCUUAGAAUGGACACUAAAAUUCUAAAAAAUAAAUGGAGCAAAUCUUUAUAUUUUAAAAAGAUUUCAAGCUAUAAUUAUCGAUUGAAAAUGUUUACUUAAUUAUGUUGUCACUUGAUUUUCAACUAGUAGCCACAGCUCUAAUCUAUAAAUAGAGUUAGGAAUGGUAGCACAUCAAUUUUUCUCUUUCAUUUUUAAAUGAUCAGCUGAAAUAGAGAAUGAAAUGCAAUCUUUAAUAUAGUUUUAAAAGACUUUAAGUUACUUUUGAACUACGAACAUGUGAAAAAUUACAAAUAGGAUCACUGACAGUAAUUUUUAUAAGUAAAAAGGUACAAAUUGUUGCUAUUUGUGCUCUUCAUUCUUAAUCCUUUGCUUAUCUUUCUUUUGACCUUUAUCCAAAUGAAUCACACUAACUCUUGAAUGCUUUCUCUCACUUGAUUUCUAAAGCUGUUCAUCACACUUGCUGGCUAGAAGCACAGCUGGCAAGGGAUCUAAGCCUCAUCACUGGGCAAACUUGCCCUUCUGGUUUUGCCAAGAAUGACAUUUCCAAUGGAAGAAAAAGUUACUGUAUGGGACACUGGAUACUCUAUUUAUUUGUGAGAACCAAUAGCUCCAACCCCCUUUGUUAGCACUACAUAU
ensembl:lncRNA novel transcript, antisense to FAM172A